AAUAAGAUACCCGGGUAGUCCUAGCCGUAAACGAUGAACACUAGGCGUAGUCGGUAUCGACCCCCGGCUGUGCCGUAGCUAACGCAUUAAGUGUUCCGCCUGGGGAGUACGGCCGCAAGGCUAAAACUCAAAGGAAUUGACGGGGGGCCCGCACAAGCAGCGGAGCGUGUGGUUUUAAUUCGUCGCAACGCGAAGAACCUUACCAGGGCUUGACAUGUGGCGGAAAACGGCGGAAACGUCGUCCUCCCGCAAGGGACCGUCAUGCAGGUGUUGCAUGGCUGUCGUCAGCUCGUGUCGUGAGAUGUUGGGUUAAGUCCCGCAACGAGCGCAACCCCCGUGGCAUGUUGUAUCUCUCAUGCCAGACUGCCGAGAGAAACUCGGGAGGAAGGUGGGGAUGACGCCAAGUCAGCAUGGCCCUUACGUCCUGGGCUACACACACGCUACAAUGGCCGGUACAACGGGUUGCCAAACCGCGAGGUGGAGCUAACUCCCUUAAAGCCGGUCUCAGUUCGGAUUGCAGGCUGCAACUCGCCUGCAUGAAGCCGGGU
rnacentral:rRNA from 1 species